CCUGAAGUGUAAGCGCAGAUGCAGACGGGUUCAUCUGCAGCGGAAAGAAAUAGAUUUUCCUGAUGGAAUAAGACAGCAUUAUACAUCCAUUUCAUCCUAAAACACAUAUAUACUGCGUGACGACAUGAGAUUAGAGAAAAGCUACGGUUAGGAAAAGAAGAGCCAUCCCAGAUUGGCCUCACGCUGGAAAGGACAGAUUCAACUCACUGCUUCCUCACAGGAUACCUGUGUUUAAUUUCUUUGAUUUAUCAAUGGCCAGCAAAUCGUAUUUUUCCCCACUUUUACAGAUUGUAUGUGCCUGGCAGGAUCAACUCUACGUGUUUGCCGCAAACAUCUCAGCAACGCAAAGACAGAGUCUACCUCCGGACAUUUAAGAAGAGAGUCUGAACUAUCAGUCACUCAGCAUGGUCCUCUGAGCCAUAGUUCCCAUGAGUUGCUCAGAAAUGAUACAGAGCCAAGCAGGGUGCAGAGAUCUUCAGUCAGCGUUUCUGGAGCAUCUGCGAGAAUCAGCAGGCUCUCAUAAAAUCCUUGUGAAGAUGAAGACAUAUUCCCCCAGGCCCUUCAUCACAAUUUCCAUCCCAAAGACAGCAAAUUCUAUCCUUUACAUCAGCAGUGGAGCAACUCCUUCUGAACAUGAAUUAAAGGUGGGGUUUUUUCACCAGAAUAUUUGAGACUCCUCUA